AGAGGGCGAGCAGAAUGCGGAAACUGGUGUGCGAUUGUGUGGCUGCGAUAUUAAAAUUGAAACUGGAUCAUACAGUAGCGCUUUGUAAUGUAUAGAGACGAUGAUAUUUUUCUCCUGAUACAUCAACUGAAAAGGGAUUUACGUUAUUUGUUGUUUUUGUUUAUUAAUUUAGACGCCUUAGCAUAGCAAUAAUGGAUUAUUUUUCAAAAAUAAAAUGUUGUUAGAAACCUAUAACGUUACGCGUAUGGAAACCAUUGAGAACCAACGAGGUGGAUAAUGCUUUAUAUAGAACCUACGUUGUGACGGAUAGUCACCAAAAUACGGUCAUGAUCAUCAGAGUUCCAGCAGCAUCUGACAUGGGAUGAGUGGAGAUUGGAAAUAAGUUUGAAAUGGAAAAAGAGAGACAUUAAACAACAGAUAUGCUUGUACAUCUCUAAUGCAAAUAGAACAUGUAAGGGUUUUGAAUGUGUCAUGCAUGUUCAUAAAAUAUUUUCACCUGUAAAAAUGAUCAAUAAUUUUAUUGAUAUUAAUUAAGAUUAAGGAAGAAUAUGCAGAGU